UUUCAUCCAGUCCCGCUUUAAAAUUAAAAACGCACCACCCCCCGACCGGGAGAGAGAUGGAGAGGACCUGGGGGAGACUUUCGGUGGGUUAGCCACCGUUGGGGCGGAGGACGGCGCCGGAGGCCAGUGGGUCACGGCUUGACGCUGGUGAAGCAAGGGAGUUUGAAAAUCGGCGUUUUCUCGGUACCCAAACAAGGAGGAACUCGUUUUUGGGCAAACUCCGACGGGCUUUCAGUGGCAGAACGAGACCUGAAGAAUCUCAAAGAACAACUAAAUGAUGAUAUUCCUGUUGGUCCUUUAAUUAAGAAGUGUUGUACAUUGGACCAGGGAAAAGCUGGGAUUACGUUUUUAGAUGCAAUUUUGGACAAAACGCUUCCUAGUACUGUUGCCUUGCUUGCUGCUUGUGGCCGUGGGAAAUCUGCUGCACUUGGUUUAGCAAUUGCUGGAGCUAUUGCUGCAGGGUAUUCAAAUAUCUUUGUAACUUCACCAUGCAAGCCCUGAAAACUUGAAAACCUUGUUUGAAUUUGUUUGCAAAGGUUUUGAUGCGCACGAAUAUAAGGAACAUAUAGAUUUUGAUGUGGUGAAAAGUAGUAAUCCUGAGUUCGAGAAAGCAACUGUGCGGAUCAAUAUUUUCAAGCAGCAUAGGGAAACAAUUCAGUAUGAGUCACAAUCAUUCACAUUCAGAAGAAACAUAAUAUAUCUAUACGCAAGCUACAGAUGGGCUAGUUCUCACUCUAGAAUGGUUUUUGUAGAUAAUGCUGAUUUUCUGAAGGAGUUGGAGUGAGUUUUAGGAAAAUAUCAUACAAAGCUUGUGAGACCGAAACCUGUUACUUGGAGUGAGUUUUAUUUUGCUGUGCUUUUAUUUUACUUUUGCCAUAUCGGGUAUUACCCAAAAAAUAAAAAAUAAAAAGGCUCAAAACGUGAUUUUAAUACCCUAUGUGAAAACGGCUAAAAAAAUUAAAAAGGGCUCAAAACGAUUUGAGCCGUUUUAAAGCCCAAAUACGGCUCAAAAUAAUGAUUUUUUUUGUAGUGUCGGUAUUUAUUACAGUGCACGUGACAAUCCAUCUUAGCCAACUUCCUCUUCACUGUAAUUGUACUAUCCUUGUCUAGCAUGGAGUUGUGUAAUUAAUAAUUCAAUCCCCUCCCCCCCCCCCCCCCAACUAAAAGCAUUG